CGUCCAUUUUUAAUGUAAAGUUUUCUUAUUAUGAAAGUAAUCCAUUAUUCCUCAUAUUCUCGAUUAAUGGAUCACUUUAUUUUUAGAUUAAAUACGGUAGCACUAUUCAAAGAGCCUCAAAAGCUCUUCGUUCUAGAUGUUAUGCCCUAAGAUACAUGCUCGAAGAUUCAGCUACCUGUUGCACCUUAUGAUGCAAUCGCUUUCCACGAACGUGUGUGAUAGCAGAUUAUCUUGAUGUAGCAGAAUACUGAAUAGGAUUUUAAUUUUUUUUUAAACUUUUUAGUCCCCCCUUUUUUUCUUUUGUAUUUUUAUAGAUUUUAUAUUCUUACUUAAGUGAAAGUUUCUUACUUAAGUGAAAGUCUUCCAGUUAGGUUGCCUUUCACAAGUAUCUGAAAAUGAGCCAUAGUAAUGGUGGAGAGCAAGCUGAUAAGUUGCCUGAUGUAACUGACAGUGUUAAGAAUAUUUCAAGCACAGAAGAACCUUUCAAUAUUUUGAAAGCUAAAGAUUUGAAUCUAACAGAAAAAGAGCUGCCUUCUGGUUCUAGUGAUAAUGAAUUUGAAAAGAGUGAAUGCCUUAUUUUCAACUAUCAGGUGAGCUUAGGAUGC